AGCUCCAAUAGCGUAUAUUAAAGUUGUUGCAGUUAAAAAGCUCGUAGUUGGAUUUCUGGUAGGAGUGACCGUUCCGGGCUUGAUUGUCCGUGUAUUGUGUUUUCUCCAGCCAUCCUCGUGGAGAACUUUUCUAGCAUUAAUUUGUUGGGAUUGGGACCCGCGUCGUUUACUGUGAAAAAAUUAGAGUGUUUAAAGCAGGCAAUCGCUUGAAUACAUUAGCAUGGAAUAAUAAGAUAGGACUUUGGUACUAUUUUGUUGGUUUGCAUACCAAAUUAAUGAUCAACAGGAACAGUUUGAGGAUAUUCGUAUGAACAUGUCAGAGGUGAAAUUCUUGGAUUUUGAUCAGACGAACUACUGCGAAAGCAUUUAUCAAGGAUGUUUUCAUUAAUCAAGAACGAAA
rnacentral:rRNA from 1 species